CUCGUCCCUGCAGAUUGUUGCUCGUCCAUUAAUUCAAAUUUAGCAAAGUUUUUUUGUGGGAUAAUAAGGAUACAUACUGUAAAAAAAAUCUAUAUUUCCAGAGAGUCACAGAGAAAGUAAAAUGUGAAUGCUAUGAAAUAAUCAUUACUCACUUGAUGAAGCGAUUGUACGCUGAGGGGACUCUCUGUCUCUUCUCCGGGGCUGGACAUGGACAGAAGACAGACACAACACACACAGACACAUUAAUAUCACUUGGAUAGCUUUUAAUGCAUUUCUGCUUUCUUUUUCUUUUCUUUUCUUCUCUUUCUCUUCUGUCACUUCUCAUUAUCAUUUCUAUAUCUCUCCCUACCUACACCCAUCCGCCAAAGAUGCUUCAUUCACUAAAUUUCCGGGAGAAGGAAAUGCACAAUCAUUCCCUUCCAUCUACAUUUUCGGCGGAGUAUAUGCUUUCUUUGUAUAUUGUAUAUGCAUACAAACAAAGGGCAAAUUAAGCUUUGUAUUAUUACUGUUAUCAGCUUUAUUUAUAAUUUUAGUAAUUAGGAAAAUAUCAGAUCCAAAUGGGUCUUACUACCUAGUAACUAAG
rnacentral:misc_RNA from 1 species